GAGGGUAUAGUGCAGUGUUAGAGCAUGUGUUCAGCAUGCACAAGGUCCUGGGUUUAAUCCCAGUACCACCA
rnacentral:tRNA from 1 species